GGACAUGUUCCGCAUGCCACCUCAUCGACGCAGCAGUCCUCUCAGAUUGAUAUAAUCUUUUCAAUCUGUCUGUAAUUGGUAGGUACCACAUCCUUUGGUACGGUACCCUAUUCCUCCCACGGCCUUGCGGUUUGAAUCGUGGUUUUUUGCAGAAUCGACACUCUUCUAACUUGUCAUCUUCUUUUCAGUAGAUCAUGCAGUUGUCGAUGCAAACAUCAAUCAUCUCCGAAGGCAACCCAAGACUAUAAACCAAUUUCUGAAUCUCAUAAUAAGAUUCAGCAGACACGUUGUAUUCUGGCAAAUACUCUUUAAACAACUCCGCCCAUGCAUCCAUGCAAUUCUCAGGUAAAUUAUGAUCCGUUUUAAUAUUCAU
rnacentral:lncRNA from 1 species